AUGUCGCGAGGUUGCUUGAGAGGUGCACAGAGAACACGUGGAGUUGCACUGAAGUUGUGAGGAGUUGGAGCAAGGUUGCGUGAAGGUGUUCUGAGGUUACGUGGAGUUGCACCGAGGUUGUGUGGAGGAGUUGCAGCGAGGUUGUAUGGAAGAGUUGCACUGAGGCCGUGUGAGUUGCAACUGAGGAAGUUGCGUGGAGUUGAACAGAGACGUCUGCGCUAGGCACAACUGCUGGGGUCCUGUAACAUAGAACGUUAGGA